rnacentral:lncRNA from 1 species
CUGGGCCAGAAAUCAAACCCGUGCUGCCACAGCAGUGACCUGAAAUGCUGCACUGACAAUGCUGGAUCCUUAACCCACUGUGCCACAAAGGAACGCCUAAGUUCCUAGCACUUAAGUUUUAAGCAUUAAAGAAACAGUGGAUUCUGAGGAGUUCCCACUGUGGUGCAGUGGGUUAAGAACCUGACUGCAGGAGUGUGCUUGAGGUACAACAGGUUAAGGCUCCAGCAUGGUCACCAGUUAAGGGUCACUGCUGUGGCAUGGGUUUGAUUCCUGGCCUGGGAACCUCGACAGGCCGCAGAAAAAGAAAAAAAAGAAAAAAAGAACCCAAUUGCCAUGGCUUGGGUCACUGUGGAGGCAUGGGUUCGAUCCCUGGCCCGGCACAGGGGAUGAAAGGUCUAGUGUUGCUGCAGCUGUGACUGAAGCCACGGCUGCAGCUCAGAUUCAGUCCCUGAUGCAGGAACUCCCUUGUACCCUGGGUGUGGCCAUUAAAAAAAAAAAAAGAAAGAAAAAGUGGAUUCUGGUGACAAGGUUCUUGGAUGUCACAAUUCUGAGAAAGGAGGACCCCUCUCCAUCCUUGGAGAUGUGGAAAUUCACUCAGGAAGCCGUCCCAGGUCCACACAGCAUCCUUCAGAAAGCAGGCACGUACCCUUCAUGCACCUGUCACAUACUGACUUGAGCACCUGUGAUAGGCUGGGUGCUGAGGUCUCGACGGGGAGAGUAAGGCAGGAAAUCACAGACACAUACAAUCACGACUGGGAGCAGCUCUGAACUACAGGAACAAGUGCUUCUGAAGUGCCUUUCCUGCUGGAAGAAGCGAAAUACUCAGAAGAAGUCAAGUUGCAAGGUCAACUAGAGAUUCUCAUACUAAGUGGAGUAAGUCAGAAAGAGAAAGACAAAUACCAUACGAUAUCGCUUAUCUGUGGAAUCUAAAAUAUGGCACAAAUGAACCUACCUACAGAACAGACACAGACACGGAAAACAGACUUGUCACUGCCAAGGGGGAGCGGGAGGGAGGGGGAUGGACUGGGAGUUUGGGUUAGGAGGUGCAAACUAUUACAUUUAGAAGGGAUGAGCAAUGAGAGUGUGCUGUAUAGCACAGGGAACUAUAUCCAAUCACUUAUAAUAGGAACAUUAUAGAAUUAACAUAAGAAAAAGAAUAUAAGAAACGAACUCAUGGACUUGGAGAACAAACUUGGGGUGCCGAGCUCAGGGUAGUGGGACAGACUUGGGAUUUGGGGUUAGUAGAUGCAAACUAUUGCAUUUGGAGUAGAUAAGCAAUGAGAACCUGCUGUUUAGCACAGGGAACUAUAUCUAAUCACUUGUGAUGGAACAUGAUGGAGGAUAAUGUGAGAAAAAGAAUGUGUAUCUAUGUAUGACUGGGUCACUUUGCUGUACAGCAGAAAUGACAGAGCAUUGUCAAUCAGCUAUAAUUUAAAACCUUUUUUUAAAAAAAGUAAGAUUUUUUUGGAUCAGUGGAAACAAAUCCACCUAGGAUCCGUAAGGAUGUGGGUUUGACCCCUGGCCUCACUCAGUGGGUCAGGGAUCUGGCGUUGCCAGAAGCUGUGGUAAAGGUUGCAGACGUGGCUCGGAUCCUGUGUUGCUGUGGCUGUGGUGUAGGCCAGCAGCUGUGGCUCCAAUUUGACCCCUAGCCUGGAACUUUCAUAUGCCAUGGAUGUGGGCCUAAAAAAGCUAAAAAUAAAAUACAAAAAUAAAAAAGUAAAAAUAGUUAAGAUUUUUAAAAAAACGCUUGGAAGGCAUUUUUCUGUCCUUGCAAGAUCUCAUCCAGAAAACCUGAUCCAGGGGCAGGAAGGUGAUGUGGCGCCGAGGAGAACCAAAGAUUUGGCCAGAUCUACAGGUCACUUUGGCCAAGGUUACGAGUGAGGUCUCAGAGAUGGGGCAAAAAAAGACUGACUUGGAUGUUUUCAGUCUCAAAAAUUAAAGUCAGGUUCAUGUCCAUUGGAACCAGCUUUCCCAGGUGGGCAGCCAGCACUCCCGUUUUCCCCAAGUUUCAGGAGUUCCCUGUGCCUGGCCUGGAGAAAAGGGAAAACUCCAUCAAGUCUCUGGGAGCUGACGCUGGGGCAGGCCGGUUCCCUGCAGAUCCCACAGGGUUCUGGGUGAAUGGCAGAUGCACUGCUGGCUCUGGGAUGCUCUCAGCCAGAACCCUGGUGCCUCUUCUGCUCUUUGCAUAACUGGAAAUGUGUUCUUAAUAUUUACAACUCUUACUUCUAUUAGGUUCUUGGGGAUGAAGCCUUGAGCAGCCAACUCUGGGAGGCAGCAGGUUCACCAAGAAGGGGAAAGGCUCUAACACUUAAAAACCACCAGGCAGAUGCUUAAGGAAGUGGGCCUCUUGGGAGGUGAAAGGCUAAGAGUGGACACCAGGACUGUUAAAAACAGCUCUUGGGAGUUCCCUGGGGGCCUACAGUUAAGGAUCUAGCAUUGUCACUGCAGUGGCUUGGGUUCAGUCCCUGGCCCAGGAAAUUUCACAUGGCAUGGGCAUGUGAAAAUAAAUAAAAAAAACUGUCCUGGCACUAAGAAUUGCAUAUAAAGAAAUAUAUGUAUUUCAGGAGUAAGAGUUGUUGUUUUGUCCCCAAAUCAGUUAGAAAUCUGAAUAACUGUCCAAUGCAACAGAUACUGCCCCAAACCCACACCCUCUUGUCCUCCUGUUCACAGGCCCACAUUUGGUUUGAUAAUUCACUCUCCUCUUCCUGGUCAGGAUGGGCCUCACCAAUUCCAACACAGUAACUCCUCCCCUUGUCUCUGAUUGGCUGGGGCUGAAGACGAGGCCUAAUUCUGGCCAAUGAGAUGCGUGGGAAAGUCGGGGAGGCUGGGGCUCAGGAAAGUUUCCCUCAUUUUAAUGAGACCCCAAGUAGAGCCGGUGGGGAGGGAAGCUGGCCAGAGAGCAGACCUAUGGAGCGAGCCUAAUGCCUUGACCUCGUGAGCCCUGGAUGUAACCCGUCAUGAAGCUGCCCAAGGUCUGCACUUAAGUUUUAUCAAAAUUUUAAUGUUCUGAGAAUUUAAAUCAUCUUGAGUAGAGUUUUCUCCCACUUGCAGAGGAAGGAAUCCUAAUUGAUACUUCUCAUAAUCUAAGCAAUUGGGGCACCACAAAUUACCUUGGAAUUAAAAAAAUAAAAUAAAAAAGAAAACCACAACCGAAAAACGUCUCUGUCACAAAAGGUUCAGAAACAGCUUCCCUGUCCUCUCCCUGCAAAGCGCAGGGCAGCUUGAGAAGAUCAUGACCAUGGCAGCUGCUCUGCUCUGCCCUCCCCAGGGGCCUCUCUGCCAGGUAUGCAUCUGGGUGAGGGUCCAUGAUGCUGGCAGACAGGCAAGGGCACAGGAGGCUGAGGGAAGGCAGUAUAUGUGUUUCAAGGAUGUCAGAGAGGUCAAAACCAGCCCCUGUUUCGAGUGGGGAGUCCUGAGUUUUGUCCUCAGACUGUGCUCCUCCCUUCUUGCCCUCGGGCCGGAAGUUCCCCCAAAGACUCAGGGGACAAUUCCCUGGCUACAUAAAAUGCCCCUGAUGACACUGGAGACUGGCUUUCACAAGUCAAGCCUCCUUCACUGAUGUGAAACUUCAAACAACUUCCAAAUAAGACCCAGCCCCAGGGCUGGAACACCAAUUGGAGUUAGAAGCCCAGCACUCCCCGUGCUUCCGAGUAGGGACUGAAGGUGAGGCAGCCCCCAGCCCAAACGCUCCUUAUGGAAAAGGGAACAGCCCCACUCACCAGGAGAGAGUCUUCCACAGGCUUUCCAUCUGCAGGAACCAAACAAAAUCUCAUCCUUUCUGUACCUUGCCUCCCUGACUUGCCAUUCAGCUUCGAGGCUCCCUAAGAAAUUUGCUUUUCAGCGCCAAGGGCCAAUACAAUUAGACUUGUUUUUCUAACUCCGAAGCCAAGUUUCCCGCACACAAACACAGCAUAUCCUCCUCAAACUCACAAUUCCCCCCUGGGGAAACUCCCUCUUGUUCAUGUUGUAAGUAGUGCCUAAAACCAGCAGAAAAGAUGAAAAGGGGGGUUACCUGGCUUGUGGGCUGACGGGGGACCGGGUAUCCGACCGCAGGGCUGGCUCCACCUGUCUGACCCGCCAGGCUUGUCAUUGCCGCCGCCGCCAGGCCAGGGCUCACUGCCAGCGCCCGGACCGCCACAGGUGUGCAUUCACCUGCAGAGAGGUGCUCGCACCCAGGUCCCCUCCCCUGCCUGCUCCCACCUGUGACCUGCUCCCACCCCCUCCAGCCAAUCAGGCACUGCGACAUCUCUCCUGCGUCAUUUCAAUUCUCAAUCUAAAGCUGAUGGAAAAAAAGAGCAAAAGGGAAGGGGAAAGAGAGAGGGGAGAGAGAAAACACCAGCCCCCAUACCCACCGGCAGGGCCUCGGUAACAGUCAGAGGUGGGGCCAGGUGGACCAGGAGCCUGAACAAAAGCCUUCCCAGUGAUCGGUGAUGGUCAGGGUCAAAUUCCAGGGCUGCUUUUUUCCCUCUGGGUGGCUAUUUUGGGAAAGCAGCUUUACGCCAGCAGUCGGCAGACUGGCUACCUCGGACGCUGGAAUCCGGAAGACUCAGAGCUCUGCCAGGUCCCAGCCCAGGUGAAGCAGGGAGAGCAGCCCUGGAGAGCAAAGGGUAGUUCCAGGUACCCCCGGAACCCGGACCCCUGCCCUGGGUGCACCCAAGCCCACCCAUCCUCCUGGCCCCACCCUUUCAGUAGGGCUCCCUGGGUACCUGGGGUACUGUCCAGUUUGUGCGAGGAGGUUCUGGUUUGAUGUGUUAACCAGGGGCUGAUGGGUACAGCUGGUGAGGCUAGUGGGGCUGGUGGCAACUGGAGUCCUUGGAGGCUGGAACUAGCUUCUUGUCCAGCCAAGUCGACAGUGAGCAUGGAGCUCUCAGCACUGGCUGAGUGUGAGGCCACAGGUGGUGCCUGGGGAGCGGGUCCAGGCAUCCCAACCACUGCUCAAGUUCAACCGCCUGCUUCAGAAGGCAGCCAAUUACACUGAGCCUCCUCGGAGAGCCACUGCAGAAGAGAAGCAGGGACGCCCUGGAGGAGAGCUGUGGACUCCCUGAGAUCUUCCGAUUUCCAGAGUUUUCUGGUUCAAGGCAGGUGCUAAUAAGUAAGAUCUAAAGGCCCUGCUAGUAAACUAGAACCCAUUUCCCUGAGGAGAGGGUGAGGCAGGGAAAGGAGCCCAAGAGAGAUCCAGAGGCGGAAUUUAGACGGAACCGACCUCCUGCCUCAGGGUUACAGCCCCUACUCACCAGACAUGGGUGGGAGAAUGCGUGGCCUCUGACCUCUGGAUCGGGUCAGUCCUUAGGGCUUCACUGUGCUUCGUGAGGCUCCAUCUCAAGCCAUUGGCUGUCACUGUGGCCCCAGGAGGGGCCACAAACAGGCCAGGCCUUGCUCGAGGGGCCUGAAGCAAGGGCGUGACUGCAGGUGGAUCCUCCUGGGGCCUGACUCCUUCCCCCGCCCCCUCCCCCAAUGCCCGAUCUCAAACAGCCAGUUCUUGGCCUUUCUCCAAGGCCAGUCCCAGGUCAGAGGCCUUAAGAAAAUCCCCCAAGCACUGGCCAAGGUCAGACCGCCCCGGCCCUUAGGUCAACGGCUCCUCACUGGGCUAAGACCCAAACUCACGGGAGACAACUGCAACUUCAGAAAACUGAACUGCCAGGGUGCUGACGAUACAGUCUUCAGCAACAGCCCCAUGUGGCUCAAGGCAAGGACUUCCUAAGCACAGCUAAAGAAGAAGUGUCUGCCUCCAGUUUGGAAGACAAGACUCUUUCAAAUUUACAUACCAAGUCCCAUGAUAAGUCACUCGGGAUCCCCCAAAGUAGAAAGGCUGCUUGCGGUGAGAGCUGGGUGAGCCAACAAAACAAACAACUGAGCCCGAUGACGUCAGCUUUUUGGAAAAGGAACAAAGACAACUGCACCCAAGUGAGCAGCCGCCUAUUGCGCCAAGGCAGUGGCCACCGAAAGCCCGUCCUGCAUCCUCAAGCCCAGAGGCUCUCCAUGGGGGGUGGGGGGGGGAUUUUGUCAAUGUGACAAUGUCUGGAGAACUUUCUGGUGGUCACAAGUGGGAGGGGGUCGUUCCCCAUUGUGGCUCAGCGGGUUAAGAACCCGACACAGUGUCCCUGAGCAAUCCCUGGCCUUGCUCAGUGGAUUAAGGAUCCAGCAUUGCCGUGAGCUGCAGCAUGGUUUGUAGACGGGGCUCAGAGCCGGCAUUGCUGUGGCUGUGGUGUAGACCGGCAGCUCCAGCUCUGACUGGUCCCUUGCCUGGGAACUUCCACAUGCUGCAGGUGUAUUC